UUUUUACCGGAGUACUAUGAAUACUGUAAAUUUAAAACUCAAAGAACUUGGCGGUGUUUUAGACCACUCAGGGGAACCUGUCUCGUAAUCGACAAUCCACGUUGUACCUGACCUUUCUUUGUUCUCAGUUUGUAUACCGUUGUCGUCAGGUAACUUUUUAGAAUGUAGAAGUUGGCUGGAAAAAUAAAUAAUUUAGUACGUCAAAUCAAGGUGCAGCUAACAGAAAGGGGAGGAUGGGUUACAAUUAUUUAUUUAUAAUUACGGAUUAUUAUGUUAAAGCGUAAGGAUAAGAAGGAGGACUUGAAAGUAAAUUAAAUUUAUAAGAAUAAAUUUGAAUAAGGCUCUGAAACGUGU
rnacentral:rRNA from 1 species